UGGCGGGUCGUCUAGUGGUAGGACAUGGGACUUUGGAUCCCAUCGCGAGGGUUCGAAUCCUUCCCCGCCAG
rnacentral:tRNA from 1 species